rnacentral:rRNA from 1 species
GACGAACGCUGGCGGCGGGCUUAACACAUGCAAGUCGAACGGAAAGGCCCUGCUUUUGUGGGGUGCUCGAGUGGCGAACGGGUGAGUAACACGUGAGUAACCUGCCCUUGACUUUGGGAUAACUUCAGGAAACUGGGGCUAAUACCGGAUAGGAGCUCCUGCUGCAUGGUGGGGGUUGGAAAGUUUCGGCGGUUGGGGAUGGACUCGCGGCUUAUCAGCUUGUUGGUGGGGUAGUGGCUUACCAAGGCUUUGACGGGUAGCCGGCCUGAGAGGGUGACCGGCCACAUUGGGACUGAGAUACGGCCCAGACGCCUACGGGAGGCAGCAGUGGGGAAUAUUGCACAAUGGGCGGAAGCCUGAUGCAGCGACGCCGCGUGCGGGAUGACGGCCUUCGGGUUGUAAACCGCUUUCGCCUGUGACGAAGCGUGAGUGACGGUAAUGGGUAAAGAAGCACCGGCUAACUACGUG